AUGCAAUUUGUAGGCUCUGCUCUGGACUAUGAAGAUGAGAUGGAUUUGGACUGGAUUUGCCAUUUGGAUUUGCAUGAUGGUUGCCAGGUCCACGUCACAAAUCCCCCCCUCUGUUUGACCACUGAAAGAUGUUCACUGACGUUUCAGAAAAGGGAGAAGCUCACUUUGCCCUCAAGGACCCUCAACACUGCAGGAUUACUACACACUUUAUGGCAAGCCCCAAAAGGUCUGUGCCCAGGUGAGUGUGCACCUGUCUCAACUGCCAUAUACUCCCAAACUCACACGCACACACACACACACACACACACGCGCACGCACACACACACACACACACACACUGGAGCAGAUCUUCCUAUGCUGCCAAUGGAUGUUACUGUAUCGUAUAUGAAUGAGUUUGCUGACACACCUCCUGCUAACAACAUAACCUGUUGGCACACUUCUUUUAUAUUAUCCAUAAUUCUAGCGUGUUAUAUGGCUGGAGAUUGUUUUUGUCUAACUGGCUAG
rnacentral:lncRNA from 1 species